UUGAUCGAUAAAUACCUUCGACUCCGCUUGUACUCUGAGAGAGGAAUUCACGAGCGAGAAGUUUCAAACAGAUCUGCGGAAUCCCCACCUGCGAUCGCUAUUGCUUCCGAUUUCACGGCUUGGGGCGGCGGAAAUCGUUCGUCGGAGUCGGGGCCGACGGCGAUCGGGCCCUGGUUUCGAAGGACACGGACUUGUAUUGCUCUCGUCCGUCGCCGCUGUGGAUUGGUCGGCCUUGGUGCGGUAGUAGAACAUCGGAAUAUCGCCGAUCACCUCCGCGAUGGCAGCCGGCUCUUCGCACAACGCAUCGUCGCAGGAACUUGGGAAUGAAUUUUCCGAAGGGGAGGGAAGACAAAGACAGUUUUCUUCUUUUGAAUAGGGAGCAUCGCAAGGGAUUAAAUUUUGAUGGUUAUUGUUUUUGGAAGCAGAGCUUAUGGAGAACCUGAAGAUUGAGAAGGAUGGACAGGAGAGCGCUGAUGCCAGUCCCGAUUCCUAUCCUCGACGCCCAGGAGAACCUGAUUGCAAGUACUAUUUGAAAAUGGGUUGCUGCAAAUAUGGAAGCAAGUGCAAAUAUAACCAUCCUACCAUGGAACAGGAGACUAUUCAUAGAGAUGAACUGCCCCGGAGGGAAGACAAACCAGAUUGCCAGUUUUUUCUCAAAACUGGAUUUUGUAAGUUUGGCACAACUUGCAAGUAUCAUCAUCCACAAGACAAGCCUGCUGUCCAAUUACCUUCGCUGAAUGUCUUCGGUCUACCAUUGCGAAAGGAUGUGCAGUCAUGUUCCUACUUUAUGAAAACUGGAUCUUGUAAAUUUGGAGUCACAUGCAAGUUUAAUCAUCCGGAUCCUGCCAAUGUUGGAGGCAUGUUUUUUCCGUCUGGACCUUCAGUCUAUGGCUUUACCGGAUACUCUACAACCACAGGAGGAUCACACUCUUCAGGAGGAUAUCCUUCAUGGCCUUCCUCAUGGACCCUUUAUCCGAAUAAUCCUUAUGUGCAAGGACCUCCUGCUUACAGUCCUCAUAUCCAGCAGAGUUGGAGGACAUACAUGCCACCUGCAAGUACAAAUGUUCCCUCUAUGAAUGAUCUUCGGCCAAGUUCGAGCACGUCUGGUAUUUUCCCAGAGAGACCUGACGAACCAGAUUGUGAAUACUACAUGAAGACAGGGAGCUGCAAGUAUGGUAGUUCUUGCAAGUAUAAUCACCCUAAAGGGAGAAACCAAGAAGCUGACAGUGUCAUUGGACCCUACGGCCUUCCUCUCAGACCAGGUUUGCCUACAUGCAAAUACUAUGCUGCUAAUGGAAAUUGCAAGUAUGGUGCAACUUGCAAAUUCGAUCACCCGGUUAUUGCUGUUUACCCUUGGCCGGAAGCAGCUUCAACAUCAGCAUAUCCUUACCAAAAUGGUAGAGAGCUUACAUGGAGGGCAUCAAACAGCAGUCCAUCCCUUAGGACCCCUACAGAACUUGGUCAGCUCAAGACUCCUCCGAGAGCCAUUCCGGCACAGUAUGUGAACAACAAUGAACACGAGAGUCAAUCUUCGACACUUUCUCCAAACCAUCCUGCUCCGAAUUCAGAGUCGUCAGGAAAUCAAUCGGACGAGGGCUAGCCCAUAGGAUGACUGAAGGAUGCAUAUUGUGGCUUCUCUGCAUUCAGUCUCAAAUUUUGUUUGUUUUUCGGAAGGUGGCGAGUAGAUAGAUACCGUGCAUGGAAGAAUAGCUGGUGAUCAUGCAGAGGGUCCUCCCCUCUGUUUCAUGGAUCUGAUCAUCUGAGUAUGUUCCUUGAAAAGAAAAACAAAUUAGUCUCGGAGUAAAUUAUGAAACAUUUAUCAUAUGAACUAAGAUGUUUGAGUACUAUCCGUGAGACUUGUACUAGGAACCUUGUGUUGCUCUAGCAAAUAGAAGUAUGUGCUUCAUGGUCUUUGUGAUGAGGACAGUUCUGCUGAGAAGAAAUGAGCAAAGAGAAACUGAUUCCCACAUCAAUUAUAUCAAGAUUUCAGGAUUGAAUCUCUUUUCAUUUUUACAGAAGCAACAUCUACUUAACAGUAUCCUAAAACCAGUAGUAGUUUGUUGUUCCUAUGAAGGUACUUUUUGGAGAGGUUUAAAGUGAAUGCAAUGGUCCACAACAAUAAUACAUUCGGUGGUUGAGUGUAGUUGAGGAAGAUGCAUUCUCAUUAUACCUUCUCACGAGUAGGUGAAUCUUUACUGCAAACACUGUAUGAAUGAUGCAUGAUUCUUCUGAAC